rnacentral:rRNA from 1 species
AGUGAACGCUGGCGGUAGGCCUAACACAUGCAAGUCGAACGGCAGCACAGUAAGAGCUUGCUCUUACGGGUGGCGAGUGGCGGACGGGUGAGGAAUAUAUCGGAAUCUACUUUUUCGUGGGGGAUAACGUAGGGAAACUUACGCUAAUACCGCAUACGACCUACGGGUGAAAGCAGGGGAUCUUCGGACCUUGCGCGAUUGAAUGAGCCGAUGUCGGAUUAGCUAGUUGGCGGGGUAAAGGCCCACCAAGGCGACGAUCCGUAGCUGGUCUGAGAGGAUGAUCAGCCACACUGGAACUGAGACACGGUCCAGACUCCUACGGGAGGCAGCAGUGGGGAAUAUUGGACAAUGGGCGCAAGCCUGAUCCAGCCAUACCGCGUGGGUGAAGAAGGCCUUCGGGUUGUAAAGCCCUUUUGUUGGGAAAGAAAAGCAGCAGGUUAAUACCCCGCUGUUCUGACGGUACCCAAAGAAUAAGCACCGGCUAACUUCGCG